GAUGAACGCUGGCGGCGUGCCUAAUACAUGCAAGUCGAGCGAACAGACGAGGAGCUUGCUCCUUUGACGUUAGCGGCGGACGGGUGAGUAACACGUAGGUAACCUACCUAUAAGACUGGGAUAACUUCGGGAAACCGGAGCUAAUACCGGAUAAUAUUUCGAACCGCAUGGUUCGAUAGUGAAAGAUGGCUUUGCUAUCACUUAUAGAUGGACCUGCGCCGUAUUAGCUAGUUGGUAAGGUAACGGCUUACCAAGGCAACGAUACGUAGCCGACCUGAGAGGGUGAUCGGCCACACUGGAACUGAGACACGGUCCAGACUCCUACGGGAGGCAGCAGUAGGGAUUCUUCCGCAAUGGGCGAAAGCCUGACGGAGCAACGCCGCGUGAGUGAUGAAGGUCUUCGGAUCGUAAAACUCUGUUAUUAGGGAAGAACAAACGUGUAAGUAACUGUGCACGUCUUGACGGUACCUAAUCAGAAAGCCACGGCUAACUACGUG
rnacentral:rRNA from 1 species